rnacentral:rRNA from 1 species
CACGUAGGGGCCAAGCGUUGUCCGGAUUUAUUGGGCGUAAAGCGCGCGUAGGCGGUUACUCAAGUCGGAUGUGAAAGCCCUCGGCUUAACUGAGGAAGUGCACCCGAAACUGAGUAGCUAGAGUACUAAAGAGGGUCGCGGAAUUCCCGGUGUAGAGGUGAAAUUCGUAGAUAUCGGGAGGAACACCGGUGGCGAAGGCGGCGACCUGGGUAGAUACUGACGCUGAGGCGCGAAAGCGUGGGGAGCAAACAGG